GAGUUUGAUCAUGGCUCAGGACGAACGCUGACGUGUGUGCUUUAACAUGCAAGUCGAACGAGAAAGCCCUUCGGGGUUAGUAAAGUGGCGAACGGGUGCGUAACACGUGGGUAAUCUACCCCUCGCAGAGGGACAACCGGGGGAAACCCCGGCUAAUACCUCGUACGCUUGCCGGGCCGCAUGGUCCGGUAAGAGAAAGGUAGCUUCGGCCAUCCGGCGAAGGAUGAGCCCGCGGUACAUUANCUAGAUUGGUGAAGUAACGGCUCACCAAGCUACGAUGUAUAGCUGGUCUGAGAAGAUGAUCAGCACACUGGGACUGAGACACGGGCCAGACUCCUACGGGAGGCAGCAGUCGGGAAUCUUGCACAAUGGGCGAAAGCCUGAUGCAGCAACACCGCGUGAGCGAAGAAGCCUUCGGGUCGUAAAGCUCUGUUGUUGGGGACGAAGGGCGAAGGGUUAAUAGCCCCUAGCCUGACGGUACCCUUCGAGGAAGCCCCGGCUAACUACGUGCCAGCAGCCGCGGUAAUACGUAGGGGGCGAGCGUUGUCCGGAAUUAUUGGGCGUAAAGAGCGUGUAGGCGGCCUGGUAAGUCUGCCGUGAAACCUUGGGGCUCAACCCCAAGCGUGCCGGUGGAUACUGCUAGGCCUAGAGGGAUGGGUAGAAGGCCGAGUGGAAUUCCCGG
rnacentral:rRNA from 1 species